CAUUGAGCGACCCCCACGCCUCGUGUCUCCGUUGCCUGGGGGAAGCUCAUCAGAAAGAGCGCUGCAAGAUCUGCAAGGCCUUUAAGCCCAGAACUAAAAAAGAGAGGGACUUUCGCCUUAAGCAGCUGCUCAUGGAGACGGCGUUACAGCCCUCCACUUCGACGGCACUGUCUGCCUCCGUGCGGAGCACCCCGGCAUCGGUGCGGGAACCGGCACCGGCGGGUCACCCGAAGCCCGCGGCACCGACCCAGCGGGGAAAUGCACGACGCCGAUCGUCUUCGCCGGCGAAAGCGAAGGGCCAGUCUAAGGCCCGAGGACGCUCCCCGCACAAGAGGCCGGCACCGGUAAAGACCUCGAGUGCCCCUAAGGCCGAUAUGGCCCCAACACGGACCCCGGUAGUGGCUCCGGCGCCAAAAGGCCCUUCGAGCCCCGGGAUGGGCGCGUCGAGUGAGGAUGAAGGGCUAGAGGAGCUCGUGGAACAGUCCUCCACUCCGGACACGUUUGAGGCAGCUAAGGACCUCAUCGCGUUGUCCGUUGAGGCCCCGACACGCGCUGAGGGCGCUCCGCCGAUGCUGCCGCGUAGAGGCAAGCCGGCGAUGUUGCGCCCAUCACAGUCGCCGUCUCGGCACCGCUCCAGGAACCGGUCCCGGUCGAGCUCCGCCUCGGUGGACUCCCGGUUGCCCUCGGCGCAGGAAGCACCGCAGCAGUCGGGCUUCAUCAAGCGGUCGGCACCGACUCAGCAACCAAGCACAAGUCGGCACCGCGAAGCGUCGGCGGUUCGUUACCCAAGGCCGACCAGUCGUAGCCGUUCCCGGACCCGCAACCACCGGUACCGUUCCAGGUCCAGGUCGGCGAGGCGCUAUUCCAGGUCCUGGUCGCGGAGGCGCUACUCCCCAAAACCGGACCGGCACCAUCCUACGGCUCCACCGUGGCCUUCCAGGUCACCGUCCGUGGUCUCGGGGACUGACUCAGACCGAUACGGCGGGUAUGCCCAUAGGUCACGGGGCAGCAGAGACUACGGUCAGUCCCAAUGGGGCCAACC
rnacentral:lncRNA from 1 species